AUGCGAAGGACUCAACCAAUAGAAUUUACUGAGAAAAGACUUCUGCUACCCGCCCCAUUAUCCAUCCGCGAGGAGCUGUGGAAAGACACGCCCCAUGCCGUUGCUGCGGGGCAUGUUGGGAGUUGUAGUCAGCCUUCCCAGGCUCCGCCCCUGGAAACUCCACUUCCGGGCCAGCGUGCUGAGCCCUUGCGCGGACGUCAGCGCCCCUGUCAUAGCCACGUAGCAGACCUGGUGAUUUCAGAGACUAUGGAUAUACUCUUCAGAAUAAGAGGAGGCCUUGAUCUAGCUUUUCAGCUAGCUACUACUAAUGAAAUAUUUAUCAAGAAAGCACUAAAACAUGUGCUGAGUGACCUGUCAACCAAGCUUUCUUCAAAUGCACUUGUGUUCAGAAUUUGCCACAGUUCAGUGUACAUAUGGCCUAACAGUGACAUAAACACCAUUCCAGGAGAACUGAGUGAUAGUUCUGCUUGUAAGAACAUAAUGCGCUUUAUUCACUUUGAACAGGAAGAAGAUACCAAACGAAAAUUUAUGAGAAAGAAAGGCAAAAAGUUAUCAGACAUGCAUCAAAUAGUAAAUAUAGAUCUUAUGCUGGAAAUGUCAACCUCUCUGGGAGCCGUAACCCCCAUCAUUGAAAGAGAAAACGGAGAACACCACUACGUUAGUAUGACUUUACCCGUUGAUGUAGUUCUAUCUGUUGCUCCAGAAGAAACAUGGGGAAAAGUUCGUAAACUUCUAGUUGAUGCAAUUCAUAAUCAGCUAACUGAUACGGAGAAGUGCAUUUUGAAAUAUAUGAAAGGAACAUCUAUUGUGGUCCCUGAACCAUUGCACUUUUUAUUGCCAGGGGAAAAAAAUCUUGUAACAAUUUCAUAUCCAUCAGGAAUUCCAGAUGGUCAGCUGCAGGCCUAUAGAAAGGAAUUACAUGACCUCUUCAAUCUGCCUCAUGACAGACCGUAUUUCAGAAGGUCUAAUGCUUAUCACUUUCCAGGUGAACCAUACAAGGAUGGUUACAUUAGAAAUCCGCAUACUUAUCUCAAUCCACCUAACAUAGAGACUGGUAUGAUUUAUGUGGUCCAGGGCAUCUAUGGUUAUCAUCACUACAUGCAGGACCGGAUGGAUGACAAUGGUUGGGGCUGUGCUUACCGAUCUCUGCAGACAAUCUGCUCUUGGUUCAAACACCAAGGCUACACAGAGAGAUCCAUUCCAACACACAGGGAAAUUCAGCAGGCUCUAGUUGAUGCCGGGGACAAACCAGCAACGUUUGUUGGAUCACGGCAAUGGAUUGGAUCUAUUGAGGUACAGCUGGUACUGAACCAACUGAUUGGUGUAACUUCAAAAAUACUGUUUGUCAGCCAAGGUUGUGAAAUGGCCUCUCAAGGACGGGAGUUGACUAAUCAUUUCCAGACUGAAGGAACUCCAGUCAUGAUCGGGGGAGGAGUUCUGGCCCACACAAUACUAGGAGUGGCAUGGAAUGAGAUUACAGGGCAGAUAAAAUUUCUGAUUUUAGAUCCACAUUAUACAGGCGCUGAAGAUCUACAAGUUAUUUUGGAAAAGAAUACACAUUGUGGAAACAGGAUGAAGUUGACCAGUGAGAAGUUGCCCAAGAACCCCUUUUAUACCUCUCUAUUCCAGUAUGGUGCUAAGAACCCAAAAUUCUUCCAAUGGAGGAAGGAAAAGACUGAUCGUUACAGCCAUGCGAAUUUGGUGGAUAAGGCAUUGCAGUUCUUGAAGGAAAGAAUAAGAAGAGGGGAUGCUAUGGCAUAUUUCCUCCGAGGCCAACUAUAUUUUGAAGAGGGAUGGUAUGAAGAAGCAUUAGAACAGUUUGAAGAAAUCAAGGAAAAAGACCAUCAAGCAACUUACCAGCUAGGAGUAAUGUAUUAUGACGGGCUGGGGACACCUACAGACGCUGAAAAAGGAGUGGAAUAUAUGAAGAAAGUUGUUGAUUCUCCAUGUCCCAAAGCAAGACACUUAAAAUUUGCAGCUGCCUACAACCUUGGAAGAGCUUAUUAUGAAGGGAAAGGCGUCAAACGAUCAGAUGAGGAAGCUGAAAGGCAUUUUAUUGGCACUCGGAAGCAUGUGGCAAUGGAAAUCUGGAGUCCCAGGGUGCACUUGGACUAAUGUAUUUUUACGGACAAGGCAUCCGCCAGGAUACUGAAGCCGCCUUGCGGUGCUUACGGGAAGCAGCAGAACGUGGAAAUGUCUAUGCUCAAGGGAAUCUCGUGGAGUAUUACUAUAAGAUGAAAUUUUUUACUAAGUGUGUUACAUUUUCCAAAAGGAUUGCUGACUACGAUGAGGUUCAUGACAUCCCCCUGAUAGCCCAGGUCACGGACUGUCUCCCGGAAUUCAUCAUCAGGGGCAUGGCCAUGGCAUCUUUCUACCAUGCCAGAUGCCUUCAGCUUGGCUUGGGUAUCACAAAGGAUGAAGCAACAGCUAAACACUACUAUUCUAAAGCUUGUCGUCUGAAUGCUGCAUUGGCAGAUGAACUUCACUGUUUACUUAUUCGUCAAAGAAUUUAGACCAUAAUGCAUUUCAACAAAGAUCAUCAACCCUACCACCUCAGAAUGUGUGUAUUUUUAUAGGAGCUAUGUUUUGUUAUCUUCUGAAUCCCAAGUUACAUUAUCCUGGGUAUUUUACCGACGACAUGUUACCUUCGUUCUUAAAUCUCUAAUUUUGCAACUUGAAACCUAGCUAUAGGAUCAGAUUGCAAAAAGAGCCCUUAAAGAUCUAGCUCUUAGCUUACAAACCGGCCUAGAUCACCUCAAAUACGGAAAACCAUUCCACAAAGCAAAUACCUUUUUCUUUUCUUUAAAUAGAGUGUCUAAAAGACUUAGUGCAGUCUUCGCUGUAAUUCCUUCAGAAAUAGAAAUGCUACAAACAUAAAAAACACCACUUGCAAGUUUAAUUCCUUAAAUUUCUUUCACCCUUAGUUUUGUGAAUUUUGGAUAGAUUAUUAAUUUUUUCUUUCAUUUUGUGGUUCCUUUAUUUUAUUUAUUUAUUUUUUUUUUUAAAGAUUUUAUUUAUUUAUUUGAGACAGAGAGAAUGAGAGACAGAGAGCAUGAGAGGGAGGAGGGUCAGAGGGAGAAGCAGACUCCCUGCCGAGCAGGGAGCCCGAUGCGGGACUCGAUCCCGGGACUCCAGGAUCGUGACCUGAGCCGAAGGCAGUCGCUUAACCAACUGAGCCACCCAGGCGCCCUUGUGGUUCCUUUAUUUGUUGUGUUCACUUGUUCACAAAAGUAAUAAAUAAAAAAAUUUAAAUAAACUUUCAAAUAAUGUUUUUAAAUAAAUUCAUGUAGCAUUUAUACUUCUGAAGAAAUUAAAACUAAGACUGCACUAAGUCUUUUGGGACAUCUUGUAUUCUUAAGAGAAGUUCUUAUAGGUAAUUAAUUGGUUAACUUAUUAUAAACUUCAAAAAAAGUAGGUUUAAGAAUUUGCUUAGAAUCUUGCCUCUCCACAUCUCCCCUUAGAAAUCUUAAUGAGUAAAAUCACAACUAUAUUCCUGAUAAGAUAAUCAGCUAAGCAAGAUGUUUCUUUGUGAUUAGAUUCAUUUUCUAGAUUUAAAAAACCUUAGAUGCAUUUCAAAGCAAGAUAAAAUGUGAAAAAAACUCAAUUAAAUCAUCUAUCAAGAACCAUAACUGAAUGUGCUAAAAAUUUAAUUAGCGAGCGGCUCCUUAUAUUAAUGAGACCUAUGAAGAUAAAAGUUGAUAAUAUAAAUCAUAGGAUCCAGAUGGACAAGAUAAUAUAGCAGUGUACUUCUGUCAAACAGAUACACUGGAAACAAUGUCUUAAAGAUACCUUCAUAACACCUUCUCUGUGGACAUAACUAAGCUGAUGUGGCUUUAUUUUAUAAAUCACAAUCAUCCUUUCCAGAAGAGGAUCUAAACAAGAUCUCAUCUUAGUAUAAUUAAUACGCAUGUACCAGUCACUAAAGAAGUUUUUGUAUGGCAGAGAAUUACUUGUUCUUGUUUUGUGCUCUGGUUUUUCUAUAUUACUUGAACUUCAUUUUGUCUCUAUUAUAAAGGAAAGCAGUUUCCAUAG